ensembl:snoRNA
UGGACCACUGAUGACAGCUGUGGGGGUGUAAGCGUUAGGUUACUACGUCUCUGGAACUCUGAGGUCCAA